UGGGGAAUAUUGGACAAUGGGCGAAAGCCUGAUCCAGCCAUGCCGCGUGUGUGAAGAAGGUCUUCGGAUUGUAAAGCACUUUAAGUUGGGAGGAAGGGCAGUAAGCGAAUACCUUGCUGUUUUGACGUUACCGACAGAAUAAGCACCGGCUAACUCUGUGCCAGCAGCCGCGGUAAUACAGAGGGUGCAAGCGUUAAUCGGAAUUACUGGGCGUAAAGCGCGCGUAGGUGGUUCGUUAAGUUGAAUGUGAAAGCCCCGGGCUCAACCUGGGAACUGCAUCCAAAACUGGCGGGCUAGAGUAGGGCAGAGGGUGGUGGAAUUUCCUGUGUAGCGGUGAAAUGCGUAGAUAUAGGAAGGAACACCAGUGGCGAAGGCGACCACCUGGGCUCAUACUGACACUGAGGUGCGAAAGCGUGUGGAGCAAACAGG
rnacentral:rRNA from 1 species